CCUACGGGGGGCAGCAGUGGGGAAUAUUGCGCAAUGGGCGAAAGCCUGACGCAGCGACGCCGCGUGAGGGAUGAAGGUCUUCGGAUCGUAAACCUCUGUCAGCAGGGAAGAACGGUCACUGUGCUAAUCAGCAGUGAAUUGACGGUACCUGCAAAGGAAGCACCGGCUAACUCCGUGCCAGCAGCCGCGGUAAUACGGAGGGUGCGAGCGUUAAUCGGAAUUACUGGGCGUAAAGCGCUCGUAGGCGGUAUGUCAAGUCAAGGGUGAAAUCCCCGCGCUCAACGUGGGAACUGCCUUUGAAACUGGCAAACUGGAGUGUGUGAGAGGAUAGUGGAAUGCCAGGUGUAGGAGUGAAAUGCGUAGAUAUCUGGAGGAACAUCAGUGGCGAAGGCGACUAUCUGGCACAUAACUGACGCUGAGGAGCGAAAGCGUGGGUAGCAAACAGGAUUAGAUACCCGAGUAGUC
rnacentral:rRNA from 1 species